UGAACAUCAAACAACUACUAGCAUUGAGAUUAGCAACCACAUUAUCAAACUGAAUAACACUGAUAUCUUCUGCCACAUAAGCUUCGUUCAAGAACUUCAAUAGAGCAGUCCUAUGAGCCUCAGAACUCAUAAGUAGAGAAAGAAUGGAUAUUUUUGAAGGAGUUUGGUUGAGCUGAUCUACGACCUUGUAAUCACUCUUCUUGAUGAUCUUCAAGAAUUCUCUAUCCUCUUCAGUAGUCACUGC
rnacentral:lncRNA from 1 species